AAAUUGAAGAGUUUGAUCAUGGCUCAGAUUGAACGCUGGCGGCAGGCCUAACACAUGCAAGUCGAACGGUAACAGGAAGCAGCUUGCUGUUUCGCUGACGAGUGGCGGACGGGUGAGUAAUGUCUGGGAAACUGCCUGAUGGAGGGGGAUAACUACUGGAAACGGUAGCUAAUACCGCAUAACGUCGCAAGACCAAAGAGGGGGACCUUCGGGCCUCUUGCCAUCGGAUGUGCCCA
rnacentral:rRNA from 1 species